rnacentral:rRNA from 1 species
ACACGUAGGGGGCGAGCGUUGUCCGGAAUUACUGGGCGUAAAGGGCGCGUAGGCGGCCUAAUAAGUCAGAUGUGAAAACCCUGGGCUUAACCCUGGGAUUGCAUUUGAAACUGUUGGGCUUGAGGGCAGGAGAGGAAAGCGGAAUUCCCAGUGUAGCGGUGAAAUGCGUAGAUAUUGGGAGGAACACCAGUGGCGAAGGCGGCUUUCUGGACUGAACCUGACGCUGAGGCGCGAAAGCCAGGGUAGCGAACGGGAUUAGAUACCCCGGUAGUCCUGGCCGUAAACGAUGGAUACUAGGUGUGGGAGGUAUCGACCCCUUCCGUGCCGGAGCAAACGCAAUAAGUAUCCCGCCUGGGGAGUACGGCCGCAAGGCUGAA